CUUAAAAUCCAAAGGACUUGACGGUGUUCCACCCAUCUAGAGGAGCCUGUUCUUUAAUCGAUACUCCCCGCUUUACCUCACCAUUUCUUGCUUUUUCAGCCUGUAUACCUCCGUCGCAAACUUGCCCUAUGAAUGAUUCACAGCAAGUCUAAUGGCCCCCACCAAUACGUCAGGUCAAGGUGCAGCCCAUGAAAUGGGAAGCAAUGGGCUACAAUUUCUAACUUAGAACACACGAAUUAUCACUUGAAACUGUGAUCAUGAAGGUGGAUUUAGCAGUAAAGAGAAACUAUAGCGUUCUCUUUAAUUAGGCCCUGGAACGUGUACAAACCGCCCGUCACCCUCUUCGAUAGCGUAUUAAACAUCUUCAUAAACCCUUACAAGCACCUUAGAAGAGGUAAGUCGUAACAUGGUAAGUGUACUGGAAAGUGUACUUGGAAUAACAAAAUGUAGCUUAACAAAAGCCCCUCGCUUACACCGAGACGAUAUCUGUUAAACCCAGAUCGUUUUGAGCUAUAAAUCUAGC
rnacentral:rRNA from 1 species